rnacentral:rRNA from 1 species
GAUGAACGCUGGCGGCGUGCCUAAUACAUGCAAGUCGAGCGAACAGAUGAGGAGCUUGCUCCUCUGACGUUAGCGGCGGACGGGUGAGUAACACGUGGAUAACCUACCUAUAAGACUGGGAUAACUUCGGGAAACCGGAGCUAAUACCGGAUAAUAUAUUGAACCGCAUGGUUCAAUAGUGAAAGACGGUUUUGCUGUCACUUAUAGAUGGAUCCGCGCCGCAUUAGCUAGUUGGUAAGGUAACGGCUUACCAAGGCAACGAUGCGUAGCCGACCUGAGAGGGUGAUCGGCCACACUGGAACUGAGACACGGUCCAGACUCCUACGGGAGGCAGCAGUAGGGAAUCUUCCGCAAUGGGCGAAAGCCUGACGGAGCAACGCCGCGUGAGUGAUGAAGGUCCUCGGAUCGUAAAACUCUGUUAUUGGGGAAGAACAAAUGUGUAAGUAACUAUGCACGUCUUGACGGUACCUAAUCAGAAAGCCACGGCUAACUACGUG